rnacentral:misc_RNA from 1 species
UGCGGACUGAAGCUGCCAAUCGACCGCGAUCG